CUCACUCUCUCACAGAGUCAAAAUCGGUAAAAUGGCAAACAUUGCAGGGUGUGUGGGUGUGGAGGCGUGCCUACAGUCAAACAUCAUGUUUUUCAGCGAUCGUGAAUCGCAGAGCCCAAUCCUUCUUUGUCUCUAAGUUGAAGAAUGGAUCGUGAAUCGCAUAGACUAUUUUCACAGAGGACUUGUAAACAAUGGGCACUUUGAAUUGGAACCAGAGAAUGAAAGAAGAUUAGAGCUAAACUUCACAAAGACAUUCCCUCAUGUUGUAUGGACUGGAAGGGAAGAGAUAGAUACCUCCAUAGAAGUAGCUUUGUUUGAUUCUCUUACUGGACAAGUUGUUAACUCUGGCUCUGAAGCCUCAGCAAUUGUGCAAAUAGUAGUUGUUGAGAGCGAGUUUAAUGGAAAAAAUUGGACAAAAGAAGAAUUCAAUAGUAAGAUUGUUAAACUAAGGGAAAAAAAUAGCUGUUCUUGCUGGAGAUUUUCGUGUGAAUCUUGAAAGAGGGAUUGGUGUUCUAGGUUAUGUUUGAAUUCAGGCUAGGUGCAAGAAUCGUUGAUGAUGAUGGUUCUCAUGGAAUUAGAGUUAGAGAAGCAAUCACGGAACCUUUCACUAUCAAGGAUAAACGUUUAAAAGAUCCUUCGGUAGAGUAGAUCUGGACGGCGGAGCAAAUCUGGUCAACGGAGAUGGCAAAUCGAAGAUGACGGAGCAAAUCUAGUUGGUGGAGAUGGAGAUUGGAGAUGCAGAUCUGGUCGGCGGAGCAGAUCUGUAGUCUGUGAUCGAACCAAAGGUGUCAGAGCAGUGGUGGCAGAGGAGGAUAUCGAAGAUGACUGUGGCAACGGAUGGUCUUCUAGAUCUCCGCUGCAGUGGCGGAGCCAUGUCGGCGACGGAUGACAGCAACAGUGAGGUGGUGGGCAGCGAGGUCGGAAAGCUAAGAGAGGAGAAGAGAGUUUUUUUAUUUUUAUGGAAUGUGUUUGUGUAUCAUAUAUAUAUAUAUAGAGAGAAAGGGAGAGAGAGUAUUUUGGUCGUUUUACUUGAACUUAUCCUUUUAGACAAAGUGUUUUAGAGCUUGGAUUUCUGGCCAAACAAAAUUAUAAUUUGCACUUUUGGACUGAGUGCCCUAAAGUAUAAGAGUAUAUUACUGUAGCAUUUUUUUUUUUAAAGGAGAAGAAAUGACAAUAAUUUGUGG